rnacentral:rRNA from 1 species
GCUAGUGUUGCUCGGAAUCACUGGGCGUAAAGGGUGCGUAGGCGGGUCUUUAAGUCAGGGGUGAAAUCCUGGAGCUCAACUCCAGAACUGCCUUUGAUACUGAGGAUCUUGAGUUCGGGAGAGGUGAGUGGAACUGCGAGUGUAGAGGUGAAAUUCGUAGAUAUUCGCAAGAACACCAGUGGCGAAGGCGGCUCACUGGCCCGAUACUGACGCUGAGGUGCGAAAGCGUGGGGAGCAAACAGG